CCGGCUCUCAUCCAGUGGCAAAAAAUCUCACUGGGGCCUCCAAAUGUUGUAACUGAGCAAGUUACAGAGAAACGCCACACUCUGAGAUGAAUUCAGGAGUCCUUUAUUGG
rnacentral:pre_miRNA from 8 species